GACGAACGCUGGCGGCGUGCUUAACACAUGCAAGUCGAACGGAAAGGCCCUGUCUUUGUGGGGUGCUCGAGUGGCGAACGGGUGAGUAACACGUGAGUAACCUGCCCUUGACUUUGGGAUAACUUCAGGAAACUGGGGCUAAUCCCGGAUAGGAGCUCCUGCUGCAUGGUGGGGGUGGGAAAGUUUCGGCGGUUGGGGAUGGACUCGCGGCUUAUCAGCUCGUUGGUGGGGUAGUGGCUUACCAAGGCUUUGACGGGUAGCCGGCCUGAGAGGGUGACCGGCCACAUUGGGACUGAGAUGCGGCCCAGACUCCUACGGGAGGCAACAGUGGGGAAUAGUGUACAGUGGGCGGGAGCCUGGUGCGACAACGCCGCGUGCGGGAUGACGGCCUUCGGGUAGUGAACCGCUUUCGCCUGUGACGAGGCGUGAGUGACGGUAAUGGGUGAAGAAGCACCGGCUAACUACGUG
rnacentral:rRNA from 1 species